rnacentral:rRNA from 1 species
AGAUUAGAGUUUGAUCCUGGCUCAGGAUGAACGCUAGCGGCAGGCCUAACACAUGCAAGUCGAACGGUAACAGGUCUUCGGAUGCUGACGAGUGGCGCACGGGUGCGUAACGCGUAUGCAACCUACCUCUAUCAGGGGGAUAGCCCGAAGAAAUUCGGAUUAAUACCCCAUAGUAUUACGAUCUGGCAUCUGAUUGUAAUUAAAGCUUCGGCGGAUAGAGAUGGGCAUGCGUCCUAUUAGCUAGUUGGCGAGGUAACGGCUCACCAAGGCAACGAUAGGUAGGGGGCCUGAGAGGGUGAUCCCCCACACUGGUACUGAGACACGGACCAGACUCCUACGGGAGGCAGCAGUGAGGAAUAUUGGGCAAUGGAGGCAACUCUGACCCAGCCAUGCCGCGUGCAGGAUGACGGCCCUAUGGGUUGUAAACUGCUUUUAUACAGGAAUAAACCCCCGAACGUGUUCGGGGCUGAAGGUACUGUACGAAUAAGCACCGGCUAACUCCGUGCCAGCAGCCGCGGUAAUACGGAGGGUGCAAGCGUUAUCCGGAUUCAUUGGGUUUAAAGGGUCCGCAGGCGGGGUAUUAAGUCAGUGGUGAAAGCCGGCAGCUCAACUGUCGAAUUGCCAUUGAUACUGGUACUCUUGAGUGUAGUUGA